rnacentral:rRNA from 1 species
GUGUCAGCAGCCGCGGUAAAACGUAGGAGCCAAGCGUUAUCCGAAUUCACUGGGCGUAAAGCGUGUGUAGGCGGACUGAUAAGUUGGAUGUGAAAUCUCCUGGCUCAACUGGGAGAGGCCGUUCAAUACUGUUAGACUAGAGGGCAACAGAGGAAGGUAGAAUUCCCGGUGUAGUGGUGAAAUGCGUAGAUAUCGGGAGGAAUACCAGUGGCGAAGGCGACCUUCUGGGUUGCACCUGACGCUCAGACACGAAAGCUAGGGGAGCGAACGGGAUUAGAAACCCCAGUAGUCC